GCCAGCCCGCUCAGAACUUAAAGGAAGUGACGGGGGCCCGCACAAGCGGUGGAGUAUGUGGUUUAAUUCGAUGCAACGCGAAGAACCUUACCUGGUCUUGACAUCCCGGAGACCCUUAGGAAACUAGGGGGUGCUUCCAUCUGGAAGAAUCUGGAGACAGGUGCUGCAUGGCUGUCGUCAGCUCGUGUCGUGAGAUGUUGGGUUAAGUCCCGCAACGAGCGCAACCCUUGCCUUUAGUUGCCAGCAGUUCGGCUGGGCACUCUAAAGGGACUGCCGGUGUUAAACCGGAGGAAGGUGGGGAUGACGUCAAGUCCUCAUGGCCUUUAUGACCAGGGCUACACACGUACUACAAUGGCCGAUACAAAGGGCAGCGACACUGCGAGGUGAAGCCAAUCCCGUAAAAUCGGUCUCAGUCCGGAUUGGAGUCUGCAACUCGACUCCAUGAAGUUGGAAUCGCUAGUAAUCGUGGAUCAGCAUGCCACGGUGAAUACGUUCCCGGGCCUU
rnacentral:rRNA from 1 species